UGCAAGUCGAACGAGAAAGUGGAGCAAUCCAUGAGUACAGUGGCGUACGGGUGAGUAACACGUGGGUAAUCUACCUCUUUGUGUGGAAUAACCCUGGGAAACCGGGGCUAAUACCGCAUAAGCUCGAGAGAGGAAAGCAGCAAUGCGCUGAGAGAGGAGCCCGCGGCCGAUUAGCUAGUUGGUAGGGUAAAAGCCUACCAAGGCAAAGAUCGGUAGCCGGCCUGAGAGGGCACACGGCCACACUGGCACUGAAACACGGGCCAGACUCCUACGGGAGGCAGCAGUGGGGAAUCUUGCACAAUGGGGGAAACCCUGAUGCAGCGACGCCGCGUGAGCGAUGAAGCCCUUCGGGGUGUAAAGCUCUUUCGGCAGGGAAGAUGAUGACGGUACCUGCAGAAGCAGCUGCGGCUAACUACGUGCCAGCAGCCGCGGUAAUACGUAGGCAGCAAGCGUUGUUCGGAGUUACUGGGCGUAAAGGGUGUGUAGGCGGUCUUCUAAGUUUGGUGUGAAAUCUCCCGGCUCAACUGGGAGGGUGCGCCGAAUACUGAAAGACUAGAGUGCGGGAGAGGAUAGUGGAAUCCCUGGUGUAGCGGUGAAAUGCGUAGAUAUCAGGAGGAACACCGGUGGUGUAGACGGCUAUCUGGACCGUAACUGACGCUGAGACACGAAAGCGUGGGUAGCAAACAGGAUUAGAUACCCUGGUAGUCCACGCCCUAAACGAUGCAUAUUUGGUGUGGGCAGUUCAGUCUGUCCGUGCCGGAGCUAACGCGUUAAAUAUGCCGCCUGGGGAGUACAGUCGCAAGGCUGAAACUCAAAGGAAUUGACGGGGGCCCGCACAAGCGGUGGAGCAUGUGGUUCAAUUCGACGC
rnacentral:rRNA from 1 species